GAGAUUCGGCGGGGCUCUCCUCCCUCCCUGCCGGAACCGGCCAGCCUCCUUCCCCCUCCCCUGGAUGCUGGCCACCCAUAGAAAGCCCGCCGGUCCGCCCGGCGGGCUUUUUGU
rnacentral:sRNA from 23 species